rnacentral:rRNA from 1 species
UCGUAGUGACCUGCGGAGGAUCAUUAUUGAAUUAAUGUAGAGUUUGGUUGUAGCUGGCUCCUAAUUAAACUUGGGGGCAUGUGCACACCUUUCUCUUUCAUCCCAUACACACCUGUGCACCUGUGAGACAGAUGUUUUGUGGGGGGGAAGGAACUUUAUUGGACCUUCUACUCCCCCUUGACUUCUGUCUACUUAAUUCAUAUAAACUCAAUUUAUUUUAAAACGGAUGUAAUGGAUGUAACACAUCUAAUACUAAGUUUCAACAACGGAUCUCUUGGCUCUCGCAUCGAUGAAGAACGCAGCGAAAUGCGAUAAGUAAUGUGAAUUGCAGAAUUCAGUGAAUCAUCGAAUCUUUGAACGCACCUUGCGCUCCUUGGUAUUCCUUGGAGCAUGCCUGUUUGAGUAUCAUGAAAUCUUCAAAGUCAAACCUUUUGUUAAUUCAAUUGGUUCUGCUUUGGUAUUGGAGGAUUAUUGCAGCUUCACACCUGCUCCUCUUUGUGCAUUAGCUGGAUCUCAGUGUUAUGCUUGGUUCCACUCAGCGUGAUAAGUUAUCUAUCGCUGAGGACACCCUGUUAAAAAGGGGUGGCCAAGGUAAAUGCAGAUGAACCGCUUCUAAUAGUCCAUUGACUUGGACAAUAUCUAAUUUAUGAUCUGAUCUCAAAUCAGGUAGGACUACCCGCUGAACUUAAGCAUAUCAAAAG